rnacentral:rRNA from 2 species
AAAUUGAAGAGUUUGAUCAUGGCUCAGAUUGAACGCUGGCGGCAGGCCUAACACAUGCAAGUCGAACGGUAACAGGAAGAAGCUUGCUUCUUUGCUGACGAGUGGCGGACGGGUGAGUAAUGUCUGGGAAACUGCCUGAUGGAGGGGGAUAACUACUGGAAACGGUAGCUAAUACCGCAUAAUGUCGCAAGACCAAAGAGGGGGACCUUCGGGCCUCUUGCCAUCGGAUGUGCCCAGAUGGGAUUAGCUAGUAGGUGGGGUAACGGCUCACCUAGGCGACGAUCCCUAGCUGGUCUGAGAGGAUGACCAGCCACACUGGAACUGAGACACGGUCCAGACUCCUACGGGAGGCAGCAGUGGGGAAUAUUGCACAAUGGGCGCAAGCCUGAUGCAGCCAUGCCGCGUGUAUGAAGAAGGCCUUCGGGUUGUAAAGUACUUUCAGCGGGGAGGAAGGGAGUAAAGUUAAUACCUUUGCUCAUUGACGUUACCCGCAGAAGAAGCACCGGCUAACUCCGUGCCAGCAGCCGCGGUAAUACGGAGGGUGCAAGCGUUAAUCGGAAUUACUGGGCGUAAAGCGCACGCAGGCGGUUUGUUAAGUCAGAUGUGAAAUCCCCGGGCUCAACCUGGGAACUGCAUCUGAUACUGGCAAGCUUGAGUCUCGUAGAGGGGGGUAGAAUUCCAGGUGUAGCGGUGAAAUGCGUAGAGAUCUGGAGGAAUACCGGUGGCGAAGGCGGCCCCCUGGACGAAGACUGACGCUCAGGUGCGAAAGCGUGGGGAGCAAACAGGAUUAGAUACCCUGGUAGUCCACGCCGUAAACGAUGUCGACUUGGAGGUUGUGCCCUUGAGGCGUGGCUUCCGGAGCUAACGCGUUAAGUCGACCGCCUGGGGAGUACGGCCGCAAGGUUAAAACUCAAAUGAAUUGACGGGGGCCCGCACAAGCGGUGGAGCAUGUGGUUUAAUUCGAUGCAACGCGAAGAACCUUACCUGGUCUUGACAUCCACGGAAGUUUUCAGAGAUGAGAAUGUGCCUUCGGGAACCGUGAGACAGGUGCUGCAUGGCUGUCGUCAGCUCGUGUUGUGAAAUGUUGGGUUAAGUCCCGCAACGAGCGCAACCCUUAUCCUUUGUUGCCAGCGGUCCGGCCGGGAACUCAAAGGAGACUGCCAGUGAUAAACUGGAGGAAGGUGGGGAUGACGUCAAGUCAUCAUGGCCCUUACGACCAGGGCUACACACGUGCUACAAUGGCGCAUACAAAGAGAAGCGACCUCGCGAGAGCAAGCGGACCUCAUAAAGUGCGUCGUAGUCCGGAUUGGAGUCUGCAACUCGACUCCAUGAAGUCGGAAUCGCUAGUAAUCGUGGAUCAGAAUGCCACGGUGAAUACGUUCCCGGGCCUUGUACACACCGCCCGUCACACCAUGGGAGUGGGUUGCAAAAGAAGUAGGUAGCUUAACCUUCGGGAGGGCGCUUACCACUUUGUGAUUCAUGACUGGGGUGAAGUCGUAACAAGGUAACCGUAGGGGAACCUGCGGUUGGAUCACCUCCUUA